UAACAGUUUGGGUCUAGAGGCAGGGCAGGAUGGAUAUAGGUCUGUAACAGUUUGGGUCUAGAGGCAGGGCAGGAUGGAUAUAGGUCUGUAACAGUUUGGGUCUAGAGGCAGGGCAGGAUGGAUAUAGGUCUGUAGCAGUUUGGGUCUAGAGGCAGGGCAGGAUGGAUAUAGGUCUGUAACAGUUUGGGUCUAGAGGCAGGGCAGGAUGGAUAUAGGUCUGUAACAGUUUGGGUCUAGAGGCAGGGCAGGAUGGAUAUAGGUCUGUAGCAGUUUGGGUCUAGAGGCAGGGCAGGAUGGAUAUAGGUCUGUAGCAGUUUGGGUCUAGAGGCAGGGCAGGAUGGAUAUAGGUCUGUAGCAGUUUGGGUCUAGAGGCAGGGCAGGAUGGAUAUAGGUCUGUAACAGUUUGGGUCUAGAGGCAGGGCAGGAUGGAUAUAGGUCUGUAACAGUUUGGGUCUAGAGGCAGGGCAGGAUGGAUAUAGGUCUGUAGCAGUUUGGGUCUAGAGUGUCUCCCCC
ensembl:lncRNA